UGAGGAAUAUUGGUCAAUGGGCGGGAGCCUGAACCAGCCAAGCCGCGUGAGGGAGGAAGGCCCUAUGGGUCGUAAACCUCUUUUGUCAGGGAACAAAAGCGAGUAUGUAUACUAGUCUGAGUGUACCUGAAGAAAAAGCGUCGGCUAACUCCGUGCCAGCAGCCGCGGUAAUACGGAGGAUGCGAGCGUUAUCCGGAUUUAUUGGGUUUAAAGGGUGCGUAGGCGGCGGUGCAAGUCAGCGGUAAAAGCCCGGGGCUCAACCCCGGCGAGCCGUUGAAACUGCAGUGCUAGAGAAGGCGAGAGGUACGCGGAAUGCGCAGUGUAGCGGUGAAAUGCUUAGAUAUUGCGCAGAACUCCGAUUGCGAAGGCAGCGUACUGGCGCCUGACUGACGCUGAGGCGCGAAAGCGUGGGGAUCGAACAGGAUUAGAUACC
rnacentral:rRNA from 1 species